UUUUUUGUUUUGUUUUUUUGAUAUCAUUUUUUUGUGUAAUAAGAAAUGUAGUAUAUACUGUUAACUUCAGCAAAACUUGUUUUCAAUGUACUGUUUUCAAUGGUUCCGAUCGAGAGUUCUUAUCAAUUGUUCUAUGUGGGGCUUUAAUUAGUGGGACACCUACGUUAACUAUAUCGCUUCUCCUUUAAGCGUUCGCACUCAGGCGCAUGGUGUAUUGCAGACGGGGAAGCGGAGGUAGUUUUUCUCUCUUCUAUUUGUCUUGUAUUGACUAAUUUUCGGUAAUGAAAUCACUUUAUGAUGUCAAAACACUGUUAAGAGGUUAUGUCAUAAUGUGUAUCAGUGUGAUUCGAUUAUUUUCUUUGUAAGUUGCUCUUUUAACCAUGUUAAAGUUAGAGCCUCAUUUUCACGUGCGUCUUUUCAAUGCAGGAAUUAGAGAGUAACGUUAGGCCUUCUUGAAUGUCCCUAAUUUUGCCUCACUUCUCUGUUUAAGGUGAAUAAAUAACACUUAAUAUCAUCACUUCAGUCGUUGAGUGGUCGUGUUUCCAUGGUGUCCUGUGGUUACCACUUGAAGUCUGCUACAUAAAACUGGUGCCGUGACCCGGAUCCACUUGGUCAGCUGCAGCCGAUCGCCGGGGUCUAGCAGUGUGCUGUGACGUGUUCUGCGUGGCCAGAGGAUCUGCACAGCAGAUAUUCAAGUGAAGUUAUUCGGACAUUUGCACUUGCACACACACACACACGUGUUUACCUGUCCACCGUGAAGUUCCACUUAAUUCCAGACUGCGCCGUACACUUUACACGCAAGCGUACAUCGGACAUUUGCACAAAUUGGACGUUGACAUUCACAUUUACAUUCCUUUGAAGAUUGAGUUCAUUUUUGGAAAUCUGUAACCACUGUAUAUCUACAUAUUUCACAAAUUUCUGUUAUUUUAUUUGGGUUUCAUUUUUAUCUUACCAUUCAGAAUGGCUGGAAGAGGUCGAAACACUUCUGAUAUAUUCACUCCAUUAGCUGGUGGGGGUAGGGGUAGGGGUCUGUAUAGUGUAAGAGAGAAUACAGGGGC